rnacentral:rRNA from 1 species
UACGGGGGGUGCGAGCGUUGUCCGGAUUUAUUGGGCGUAAAGAGCGUGUAGGCGGUUUGGUAGGUCCGUUGUGAAAACUCGAGGCUCAACCUCGAGACGCCGAUGGAAACCAUCAGACUAGAGUCCGGAAGAGGAGAGUGGAAUUCCUGGUGUAGCGGUGAAAUGCGCAGAUAUCAGGAAGAACACCCGUGGCUAAGGCGGCUCUCUAGUACGGUACUGACGCUGAGACGCGAAAGCGUGGGGAGCGAACAGG